GAUGAACGCUGGCGGCGUGCCUAAUACAUGCAAGUCGAGCGAACAGACGAGGAGCUUGCUCCUCUGACGUUAGCGGCGGACGGGUGAGUAACACGUGGAUAACCUACCUAUAAGACUGGGUUAACUUCGGGAAACCGGAGCUAAUACCGGAUAAUAUAUUGAACCGCAUGGUUCAAUAGUGAAAGACGGUUUUGCUGUCACUUAUAGAUGGAUCCGCGCCGCAUUAGCUAGUUGGUAAGGUAACGGCUUACCAAGGCAACGAUGCGUAGCCGACCUGAGAGGGGGAUCGGCCAAACUGGAACUGAGACAAGGUCCAGACUCCUACGGGAGGCAGCAGUAGGGAAUCUUCCGCAAUGGGCGAAAGCCUGACGGAGCAACGCCGCGUGAGUGAUGAAGGUCUUCGGAUCGUAAAACUCUGUUAUUAGGGAAGAACAAAUGUGUAAGUAACUAUGCACGUCUUGACGGUACCUAAUCAGAAAGCCACGGCUAACUACGUG
rnacentral:rRNA from 1 species